AUGCUUGUUCCAGCAGUAUGUAUACCAAAAUUGGAAUGAUAAAAAGAUUAGCAUGGCCCCUGCACAAGGAUAACAUGCACAUUCAUGAAGAAUUCCAUGUAUUA